rnacentral:rRNA from 1 species
GAUGAACGCUGACAGAAUGCUUAACACAUGCAAGUCAACUUGAACUUCGGUUUGGGUGGCGGACGGGUGAGUAACGCGUAAAGAACUUGCCUCACAGAUAGGGACAACAUUUGGAAACGAAUGCUAAUACCUGAUAUUAUGAUUAUAUGGCAUCGUAUAAUUAUGAAAGCUAUAUGCGCUGUGAGAGAGCUUUGCGUCCCAUUAGCUAGUUGGAGAGGUAACGGCUCACCAAGGCGAUGAUGGGUAGUCGGCCUGAGAGGGUGAUCGGCCACAAGGGGACUGAGACACGGCCCUUACUCCUACGGGAGGCAGCAGUGGGGAAUAUUGGACAAUGGACCAAGAGUCUGAUCCAGCAAUUCUGUGUGCACGAUGAAGUUUUUCGGAAUGUAAAGUGCUUUCAGUUGGGAAGAAAAAAAUGACGGUACCAACAGAAGAAGUGACGGCUAAAUACGUG